rnacentral:tRNA from 1 species
GGAGGUGUGGCUCAGUGGAGAACACCUGCCUAGUAUACACAAGGCCUUGGGUUCCAUGCCCAACACCCCCC